rnacentral:misc_RNA from 1 species
CUUUUUCGGAAGGUAUGCUUAAAGAGGGGCUUGCGUCACAUUAGUUAGUUGGUAAGGUAAUGGCUUACCAAGACAAUGAUGUGUAGCUGGACUGAGAGGUUGAUCAGCCACAUUGGGACUGAGACACGGCCCAAACUCCUACGGGAGGCAGCAGUAGGGAAUUUUCGGCAAUGGAGGAAACUCUGACCGAGCAACGCCGCGUGAACGAUGAAGUAUUUCGAUAUGUAAAGUUCUUUUAUUGAAGAAGAAAACCUAGUGGAAAAACUAGCUUGACGUUAUUCAAUGAAUAAGCCCCGGCUAACUAUGUGCCAGCAGCCGCGGUAAUACAUAGGGGGCGAGCGUUAUCCGGAAUUAUUGGGCGUAAAGGGUGCGUAGGCGGUUUAAUAAGUCUUUAGUUUAAUGGCAGUGCUUAACGCUGUCCUGCUAAAGAAACUGUUUGACUAGAGUGAGAUAGAGGCAAGCGGAAUUCCAUGUGUAGCGGUAAAAUGUGUAAAUAUAUGGAGGAACACCAGAGGCGUAGGCGGCUUGCUGGGUCUUUACUGACGCUGAGGCACGAAAGCGUGGGGAGCAAACAGGAUUAGAUACCCUGGUAGUCCACGCCGUAAACGAUGAGUACUAAGUGUCGGGGUUAAACUCGGUACUGAAGUUAACACAUUAAGUACUCCGCCUGAGUAGUACGUACGCAAGUAUGAAACUUAAAGGAAUUGACGGGAUCCCGCACAAGCGGUGGAUCAUGUUGUUUAAUUCGAAGAUACACGAAAAACCUUACCAGGUCUUGACAUACUCUGCAAAGCUAUAGAAAUAUAGUGGAGGUUAUCAGGGAUACAGGUGGUGCAUGGUUGUCGUCAGCUCGUGUCGUGAGAUGUUAGGUUAAGUCCUAAAACGAGCGCAACCCUUGUCGUUAGUUGCCAGCAUGUUAUGAUGGGGACUUUAGCGAGACUGCCAAUGAAAAAAUUGGAGGAAGGUGGGGAUUACGUCAAAUCAUCAUGCCCCUUAUGAUCUGGGCUACAAACGUGAUACAAUGGCUCUUACAAAGAGUAGCUGAAACGUGAGUUUUUAGCCAAUCUCAAAAAAAGAGUCUCAGUUCGGAUUGAAGUCUGCAACUCGACUUCAUGA